rnacentral:rRNA from 1 species
UACGAAGGGGGCGAGCGUUGUUCGGAAUUACUGGGCGUAAAGGGCUCGUAGGUGGCCAACUAAGUCAGACGUGAAAUCCCUCAGCUUAACUGGGGAACUGCGUCUGAUACUGGAUGGCUUGAGUUUGGGAGAGGGAUGCGGAAUUCCAGGUGUAGCGGUGAAAUGCGUAGAUAUCUGGAGGAACACCGGUGGCGAAGGCGGCAUCCUGGACCGACACUGACGCUGAGGAGCGAAAGCCAGGGGAGCAAACGGG